rfam:Schistosoma mansoni strain Puerto Rico chromosome 1, complete genome
AUUCAGUUGACGAAUCACAAAUAGGACGAAACGCGCGUCGUGGAU